GUGUCAGCAGCCGCGGUAAGACAGAGGGGGCAAGCGUUGCUCGGAAUCACUGGGCGUAAAGGGCGCGUAGGCGGGAUGGCAAGUCGGUCGUGAAAUCCUUCGGCUCAACCGAAGAACGUCGGCCGAUACUGCCGUUCUUGAGGGAUGCAGAGGAGAUUGGAAUUCCCGGUGUAGCGGUGAAAUGUGUAGAGAUCGGGAGGAACACCGGUGGCGAAGGCGGGUCUCUGGGCAUCUCCUGACGCUGAGGCGCGAAAGCGUGGGGAGCAAACGGGAUUAGAUACCCCGGUAGUCC
rnacentral:rRNA from 1 species